GUUUCUUCCUUUGAAUUCAGGAUCUCAUCAGAGUCUUCUUCGAUUGUUGUAUCAUAACUCUUGUGAGAUGUUUUCUUCUCCUUUGCCAAAGACUUUGGGAACCUCAGAUUGAUUCUUGAAUUGAUGGUGGACUCCACUUUUUCCCCUUUUUUUCUGGUGGCUUAUGUGGAUUAAGUGGAGUUUGGUGAACCUCGCUGUGAAGCUGUGAUGUAUUAAUAAUGUUCUGCACAUCUUGAAAAGAAGAAGAAGGACCAGUUACUGUCUGUAAGGCUUCAGAAUCACACUGUUGGGCUGUAUUAGCUACAGUAAUGGGGCUUAUAUAUGAAAAUUCAUCAGUACAAAGCACAGG